AUUAAAAAGCGACAAAACCAAAAU
rnacentral:piRNA from 1 species